UUAAACUAUAACUAGCAAGAAAUGAGAAACUGAUUACAUCUGCUUAUUUGGACAGUGAAUGGAACCACAUAUUCUGCCUGUUGGCAAACACCAAAUCUGUAUAGUUUAUUUUCUUCAAAGGGAAUCAUGAUUGCCAACAAUCACUCAGCACCAACAAUUUACUGAAUGUUUAUCUGCCUGCAUUCUUCUUGUGGCUGGAAAUGUAGCAGUGAACCAGACCGAGACCCUGAUCCGCUGGGUAUAUAGCUGGGGGAGUCAGACAUUCAUGAAAAUGACUUCUAGUGCCACAGAUAUUUCAAAAGAUGCAGUAAAGAGUUCUGUGGGUCUGAAUGAUAUGGUGUGCUAACCAAAUAUGUGAAGGUGGCGAAGGUCUCCUAGAAGAAUUGGUGCAAAACUUGAGUCUCAAAGGAUGAGCUGGGUGAGGAGUUGGGCACAGUAUUCUGGGCAGUGGGAACAUCAUGGACAGAAGCCUGAAUGCAGCGGAGAGACUGACUCACUUGUGGGCAUGAAGGAGAUCAGCAUGACUGGAUUGGAGCUCACUUCCUGGUGUUUUCACCUCAUUGCAUCCCUGGUUGGUUUCUGUUGCUUGCAAUGAAAGAACCCUUACAAAUGCAAUAAUGCAGAAGUAACAAUGAAGAUGACACUGAUUCACACAAGAUUUAAUUUGUUACAUGAGUAAAUAAACAAAGCAAAAUGAACAGAAUUUACUAUACUGCAUCCCUGCUGGGAGUAUGUUGAGCUAUCUGGCCUGGAAGGCCUUUGUGACCUGUUGAAAGAAUAUACAUGGAUUUACUUCAGGAGAAAAAUAAAGUGUUAUUUUAAAAA